rnacentral:rRNA from 1 species
GAUGAACGCUGGCGGCGUGCCUAAUACAUGCAAGUCGAGCGAACAGACGAGGAGCUUGCUCCUCUGACGUUAGCGGCGGACGGGUGAGUAACACGUGGAUAACCUACCUAUAAGACUGGGAUAACUUCGGGAAACCGGAGCUAAUACCGGAUAAUAUAUUGAACCGCAUGGUUCAAUAGUGAAAGACGGUUUUGCUGUCACUUAUAGAUGGAUCCGCGCUGCAUUAGCUAGUUGGUAAGGUAACGGCUUACCAAGGCAACGAUGCGUAGCCGACCUGAGAGGGUGAUAGGCCACACUGGAACUGAGCCACGGUCCAGACUCCUACGGGAGGCAGCAGUAGGGAAUCUUCCGCAAUGGGCGAAAGCCUGACGGAGCAACGCCGCGUGAGUGAUGAAGGUCUUCGGAUCGUAAAACUCUGUUAUUAGGGAAGAACAAAUGUGUAAGUAACUAUGCACGUCUUGACGGUACCUAAUCAGAAAGCCACGGCUAACUACGUG